UGGGCUGGCCGGGCAGCCGCUGCCCGGGGAUUGCAAAAUCUCUCGGGGAGAGGAAAGUCCGGGCUCCACAGGGCAAGGUGGUGGGUAACACCCACCGUUCGAGGCGGGUGUUUUUACACCCGUUGAAGGACCGGGAAAGUGCAACAGAAAGAUACCGCCCCUUCGGGGGUAAGGGUGAAAUGGUGGGGGGGCCUGGCCCCUUAAUGUAAGAGCCCACCAGCAGCUUGGCGACAGGCUGGCUCGGCAAACCCCGCCUGGAGCAAGACCAAAUAAGAGGGAAGGACCGGUCCGGUCCGUUUGACCCUCGGGUAGGUUGCUGGAGCGGCCAGGUAACUGGCCGCCUAGAGAAAUGGCUGCCUCGUGCUAUGCGCCUAGCGCAAAGCGCAAGACAGAACCCGGCUUACAGGCCGGCCCGUGAA
rnacentral:RNase_P_RNA from 1 species